AUUAUUAUCUAUAUGUAUAACGUUAUAAAGCAUUAAAUCUUAAGUUAUAAUGAAAAAGUCCAAUAGUAUCCGUUGAGAGUUGCAACUUUGUAUUGGGAAGUUGCUUAUUGUUUAAACUCUUUAAAAAAGAAAAUGUUCAUUAAUUAAAUAGUUUGCAUUAUAGCGUGUUGCAGUUCAACUUGACGUAAUAACGGAAUAAUAAAAUCUAUAUUGUGCAAUAACGUAAAAGAGUGUCCAUUAAAUACCACUUCCUCUGCAUUUAAAAGCUCUGCAAUUAAAAAAAUAUUUGAUAUAUUCAACAUUUUUAUCGCUUAACAUAAUUUCCUUAUCUCAUCUAAAAACAUUAUGUCAAUUUUUAUGUGAGUUUAAUAUUUAAUAUGAAGCAAACUGCUUAUGUCAUACGCAAGACAGAUGAUACAAUUAAAGCAUACUUGAAACAGAUAAAAGGUAUUAAUUACAAUCCCAAAAAUAUUUUAUGCAAUACGUAAAUAGAACACAUUUUUUAAUAUUGAUAAAUACACAUAUAUGAAGUAAGACUAGACAGUCUGAAUCGUAUUCAUUGUGUUACCGUUGUAUCUACUUCAUUUUAUUCGAUAGAGAAGUGGUAGUGGUGGUAACUGUCACCCGAAGACAAUUUAUGUUAAUGACUGUUCGUAACCGAGGAGCGUCGAAGUCGCUCGACAGAACAGUCUGCAGAUCGCCGUAGCAGCGGUCGGACACGAAGCUCCUUGCUCGAGUUUCGAAUCCUCCCCACUCCUACCUCCUGUAUUCACCACCUUACCGUGUUCUAGGUGUUCCAUCCCCACGAUGGCGACGCCCAGCGCCGAUUCGUGCGCAUUUUCAUCCCCCAACUCGGGAAAGAUUCGUCCUCCCAUGGACGUCUGUGCGCUUAUUGGAAAAGAAUUAUUCUGUGAUAACUCAGUGUAUUAAUGUAAAAUUAGUGGACGCGUUAAGGUGUAUAUUGGUGUACUUGCUGGUGAGUUUGCACUCUGUCGUUUCGUUAAUAUUUGUUCAGUAUUGUUCAUGAGGAAAGCGAUAGUUGAUGAUGAUAUCGAAGUAAAGAAUUGCUUAAUCCGAAAGGAAGAAAAUAUAUUCUGUUUUGCUACAAUCCGUAUUUAAAUUAACAAGGCAAACGCUAAACGAGCCAGAACAGUUUUUAAUAUACACGCAUCAUAUAUCGGAAUUCUCCAUGUCCUUGAUAUUAUCUACUUUUACCAAACGAAAAUUAAAAAUGGCCACAGAGAGGUAGAAAAUGAUACGUUAUUGCUUAAUCAUAAUCAUGAGAGUCUUAGGUGAUAACCACAUACAAUAUUAUUUGUUUGACACAAUACCAGUAUUAGAGAAAUCUUUUUACUACAGCACAAAUUUAGCUUUAUUUAAUACAACAAAUUUACGAUGCAAACUAUUCUACAUACAUUUUGCGUAAAACUGAUAAUAAAAUUCUUUUGUUCAAUUUAAAUAGAUCUUAAUUUUCUCAUGGACACAACAAUGCAACUGCUGCAUUUACUGUGUACUUUUCAGUCAAGUAAUUCAACGUUUUCAACACACAAGUCCACUAGAACAGAUCAAUAAUCCUCUACAUAUUCUGUUAAUUGUAAUAAACAAAGACACACACACAUAUGUAAAAUAAGUAAAAAUAUCCGCGAAACGUACAAAACGCAUUCAUCCACUGACUUCUUUUCAGUCGUUUGCUCGGAUUGUGCAAGACUGUAAAGAUUCGUGCCUUCUACUUCGCAUAAUAUGCUCGGACCGUUGUAUUGACGUAUUCAGAUGAGGAAAAUGGAUAUUAGCGUUAGCGUGAUGUCGAUAGUCAGCGAGUUACACUUCGCCGUGUACAAGGCACCGCCGCGGUGGCGCCGACGGUGGCGAAUUUCACGAUUCCUCUAUAGCUUCUCGCAAUCUGGCGGGAUGCCGAUCGAUUUGCACAGUGCUCCUCGUUCGCAACACGGUUCCAUUUCGGUUCAUUUCGUAACUUGUACGGAUAGCAUAAAAUGGUCCUGAAGGGGGCAGAAGGGGAGAAACACGAGGGGAGAAGCCGAGGGGAAAAGAAUGGAGUUGCGGAACGGCCAGAGGCACGAGGGGGAAGGGAAAGAGAUGCCGGUUGGCAAGCAGAUGCUUGCCCCGUUUAUUGGUUUAUUCGUCGGCCAUGACGUUCCGUCCGGCCAUGAAACAAGCCGGAGAUUCUCCUUGUGUUAGAGAGCAUCAAACGACGAGACUACGACUGCUCUUCCUACUAAAACGCAUCGGCGAGCUACUUACUCUCGAGCUUUAUUUCCGGAGAUAAUUCUACGCCGUUUCUUCCUAAGAACAUUUGUUGGCAUUGUAUAUUGCAUAUGCACAAUAUUUAUUACGCAGGUAAUUUUAUAUAAAGCAAUGUUAUUGUAUAUGAUAUAUCUAACAAAAACAUUUUGUUUUUGUGAUUCUUUGCUACAUCGUGAUUCUGUGUACUACAUAUGUUUCUAAGCUGCAAAUAUUUGAGCUAAAUAAUUGCAAAAGUUUUUAUAUAAGAAAUUUUGAGCAGCACAGAUACAAACAGCGAUUUUGAUAGUGAUGUACACAUAUAGAUGCUAUUCAGUAAUGGCGUCCUAGGCUGGACGGAAUACUCGGGUCGAUAGAAGCAAAGCCGGUUGCCUGAAAAUAUCUUUUCAUCUUAUUGCCGACAACCAUUCUCGCCGACAAUAAGCUUUUCGAUGAUUUGUCCCCAGGGAUUGAGACAACAAUGUUCAAACUGUGUUCCAUUAUAUUUAAAAAGUUCAUGUACAAACGACUAGUCUACGCGACAUGACCAAGUAACCUGGAAAUGAAAGGUACGUCGACACACGUACAGGAAUAAAAGGAGUUGUACCGCUAAGAAGACGAAGAAGAAGAAGGAGAAGAAGAAGAAAACCAAGGAGAACGCGACCUUGCUACAUUCAGCUGUGUCAUCCUCGAGCCGUUAACGCUCAGGUGGUUUCGAUCCCAGGGACGAGCAUCAAUCAUCAUCGGUAGUGCAGGUGUAAUGUGAUCAUUGUCACUGAGAUAACCCAGUACGAUAUUCACUUACGAAGCGUGUCAAGUGACAUAACAGAGUUUAUCUAUAACGGCGUAUCGAAAUACUGAAAGAAGCAGCUUCAAUGUUUGCCUCCCCCGAUUGCGUGCCAUUUGUUAGGGCAGGUCUUUGACGAGCAAAACGCAUUAUCCAUUCAAUCGCUUAGUCACGUGUUGCAAGUAGUAGUGUUGAAAUUGCACACUUUUGUAAACGAUAUCUUUUGAUUUCAAAAGUAGAUACGAAUAUUCGUAUUCAAUAGACCUAACCGUAACUUCUUGUAGGAUUUCUUCCGUAAGAAACAAGUGAAAAUUAUUGCACGGCUAACAAGACGUAAAGCAAACUGUUAUAUUGACAGUGUUAUAUGAGAAAUGCCAGCAGUUAAUUGAAAUAGGUGUGAUAGGAAAGUACUGUGAUUCUUUAAUUGUUAAAUCAAGAAAUUAUAUAACACGGAAACAUACUGAUUAUGUAAUUAGCGAGUUUACUGCUACUAGAACUAUCGUAGAUUGAUAUUGCUUUUCACAAAACUAUCUGAAAAUUAAUUUGAUGAAGAAAAGAAUUAUUAAAUUACAUGUGUAAUUUAACAUUUAAUUAUUGCCGACGAGAUACUCCGUGAAACUUACACAAAGUUUAUCGAAAAUAGGUUCUACAUAUUAACUUUCUUAAGGUAUGACUCGGCAUAUCUGAGUUAUUUCCGUAUGAUGCGUUUCGUAAGUAUGUUAAUCUGCAAUUAACACAUAUAUCUCCCUACUUUUAAUAAAAAGCAUCUACGAACCUUAAAUAGAAAUUUAAAUUGCUAAUAAAUAAGAAUAUGCAUACUGCGUUAUGGAAUCAACAGAAUACGUAACACAGGGAGUUUCUUCAGGGAGCUCAGACAUUGACAGUAAUAUUUAUUUUUAGCGUAGUGUAAGCUGCGUAAUACAAACGAAUAGGUAUAUAUUUGCAAUGAAACUAUAGAGAAACUGAAUUAAUAGAGGGAUAUUUUCAGAUUCCUAAAAACCUGUGAAGUCUACUGAAGAUCACGUACUGGGCGGACAAAGAAGUUAAGACCGGCACGUACAUCAAGUGUUCUUAAUAGAUUAGAGAAGUGAAUAUAAUAGGCGAGUAAACGAUGUGCCAUACGAGAAAGCAAAGCACGCCCAGUUAAUGCUUUACAUCUACCCUGUAGAUCCGAAUUUGUUUGAUAAGAGGCGACAAAUUCGGUUCUAGAGAGGUUUGUGUGGUGCAUACAAAGCAACGGUGAUCUUCGAGAUUGAGUGCAAUCAGAUUAUAUAUAAAUCUACGUAUAAUCGUGCCAUUAAAUUAACAUAAGAUAUUGAGCACCGAAUUCAGUUAAUAAUUAUUCGGAAAGACUUGAACGUGCGUUUCCCUGCAAUAAAUGUUGAUAUCGACGUCGUUAACGUCUCAAGGUUUCUGUGAUUGUAAUGAACGUUAAUGUAUUCGUAUGUAAAGUAUAUGCUAACCUGACUAUAACGGAAUUUAUAAAGCAAACAGGAGAUACAGGAACAUUGUAGGUAUAAUAUUCUCGCGCGCGCGCGCGCACAUGUCGAGUUCGGAUGUGUGCUACAUGAUUGUAUAAUUAGAAAGGUACAAUUAGGUCGCGCGGAAUACUUUUGAGUUUACUCGCGCGUAUUAUGAAAGAGUUAUUAAUAACGAUGAAAAAAUAACGAAUGCGAGAAAAAAAAUUAAUGAACGUCAUUACGCCCAUGGACUUGGUUGCAUGCACGUUGUUAUACUGUCGAUGAUGAACUGCUACGUCUAGCGUGACCUGUUGCACAUAAGUUCGCUCACAUAUCGCAUUAAAUUGCACAUUCUCCUCGUGCCUUAUACAGGUAGAUCCAAAUCUUGCUUACACAAUCGAUAUUAGUGUAAAAUGAAAUGUACGUGUAAAUAUGUACCGUUCACGACGUAGCUUAGUUCAGAAGCAAGUAAGUUAUUUCAUGUCGAGCGAAUGUUCUGAGUGAAUAUCUGACAUUUUUUAAAAUUAAUAACAUCUAUAAUUCAUUUACUGACUCUCUUGAACGACAAGAGCUUAAUAGACAUAUUCUAGUUCACCGUUUUAUAUAUAAAAAUAUUUCUUUAAUAUAUUUUUUAUAUUGCGAUACUCUCACUAAUGUACUUAGUGGCUUCCAAUUUUAUUUGCAUAUAUUUAAAAGUAUAUGUAUAUUAUUUACAUCUAUUUAUAAAAUAUUUUAUUUUUUAAAACGCAGUUAUUCGUUGGAUGGAUAUCUGUCACAUGCGGAUGCACGAUUUCUUGAAUCUUUCUGUAAAGGUCGAGGCAAAUCCAUUAAUCUCUGAUCGUGUUCAUAUUAAAAUGACAUGCCAGGCGUUACGCAACUGCUCAUAAGUGCUAAUGAAGUGCAUACACAGGUGUAAUUACCAAUCGAGUGGACUGCCCACUUUUCACUCGUAGCAUAAUAUAGAAGAUAAAAAAUGGUGAUUUCAUAAUCACAUGAAGAGGAAAAACGCUACCGCCUCACACAAAUCAGCGAUUCCCAACUGAUCGCACUCUGGUCAUUAAUAUUAAAAAUUUUCUAAAUAUUGUAUAGCGUUUCUUUUUAAACUUAUAAUUCUUAACGGUAGUAAUAAUAUAACGUUUCUUCUUCAAAAAAGAACAAAAUGUUUUUCUCCAAAGAAUUGCAACAAGAAUACGAUGAGAGCUUUAUGACUCCAACCGACUGAAAAUUAUUAUUACAAAAUAGAAGAUGUAAGCGUUAAACAAUUAAAAUUGCACGGAAUAUGCAUAAAGAUAUAAAUAAUUGAUUCAUGAAAUGUAAUUAAAUAUAAUAACAUUAUUAAGAUAUUGUCGACACCUGUCGAUACUUCUCUGCUUUAAAAUAUGUUACAUGAAAAACUUUGUAACAUCUCUA